rnacentral:rRNA from 1 species
GUGGGGAAUAUUGGACAAUGGGCGCAAGCCUGAUCCAGCCAUGCCGCGUGAGUGAUGAAGGCCCUAGGGUUGUAAAGCUCUUUCACCGGUGAAGAUAAUGACGGUAACCGGAGAAGAAGCCCCGGCUAACUUCGUGCCAGCAGCCGCGGUAAUACGAAGGGGGCUAGCGUUGUUCGGAAUUACUGGGCGUAAAGCGCACGUAGGCGGGUAUUUAAGUCAGGGGUGAAAUCCCGGAGCUCAACUCCGGAACUGCCUUUGAUACUGGGUACCUAGAGUAUGGAAGAGGUAAGUGGAAUUCCGAGUGUAGAGGUGAAAUUCGUAGAUAUUCGCAGGAACACCAGUGGCGAAGGCGGCUGACUGGUCCAUUACUGACGCUGAGGUGCGAAAGCGUGGGGAGCAAACAGGAUUAGAAACCCGAGUAGUCC